CCUACGGGAGGCAGCAGUAGGGAAUUUUCGGCAAUGGGGGGAACCCUGACCGAGCAACGCCGCGUGAACGAAGAAGUUAUUCGUAAUGUAAAGUUCUUUUAACAGGGAAGAAAGAGAAAUUUGACGGUACCUGAAGAAUAAGCUCCGGCUAACUACGUGCCAGCAGCCGCGGUAAUACGUAGGGAGCGAGCGUUAUCCGGAAUUAUUGGGCGUAAAGGGUGCGUAGAUGGCAUAGUAAGUCUUUGGUAAAAAUGCUGGGCUCAACCCAGUAGGGCAAAAGAUACUGCAAAGCUAGAGUAUGACAGAGGCAAGUGGAACUACAUGUGUAGCGGUAAAAUGCGUAGAUAUAUGUAAGAACACCAGUGGCGAAGGCGGCUUGCUGGGUCGAUACUGACAUUGAGGCACGAAAGCGUGGGGAGCAAACAGGAUUAGAUACCCGGGUAGUC
rnacentral:rRNA from 1 species